CACAGUGGCAUUGGUUUGUUUCCAACCCGUAGCCCUAUGCUGCAUGUCAUCCCCCCUCUCUCCCACUUUCCUUAAUCUGUCCUAU